AUCGCUUCUCGGCCUUUGGGCUAAAAUCAAGUGUAGUAUCUGUUCUUAUCAGUCUUGUUCAUGUCUGAGAUUCAAGGAUGUGCACCAGUAAAAGCCCAU
rnacentral:snRNA from 1 species